UUUCCGAUCAGCGUUGGCUAAUGAAAAAGAAGCAUAUUGUAUCUACAAGACACAGUUGGGUGAAAAUCAUGAUAAGACUCAGGAAUCAUCACAGUGCCCACGCCUGUUGACACAACAAGCUGUCUGACUUUUAUACAUUAUUUACAAACCAAAAAGAUUGGGAACAGCGUUACAUUCAUCCAGAAUAUAUGCCAUGCUCUGAUGUAUUCUGCCUUAGAGUUGGAACAGAAAGAUUUUGUCAAGAUAUGGUUGCCAUCAAGGAGAACUUUGAAAAGUGGUCUGAUGGCAGCAAUAAGGAUUCUCGAUUGGAAUGAUGUUACGAUACGAAGCUGUGCCAACUCGUGAUAUUCAAAUGAAGCAAGUCGGUUUGCAUGCUCUUUGGCUGAGGUUUCUCGAACUAUUAUUGCGUCCGUUGCAAGAAAAUACUUUUAUUGGAUAUUUCCAUAACUCACCAAGAUCGUUGAUGAAUUUCGUCGUUCGUUAUAUACCAGAUGAACAGCCUUUACUUAGACCACAUCAUGAUUCUUCUACCAAAUACCCAUAAGUUAAAUUAAUAAUUUUUAUAACAACAAAACUUGA